CUUAAAAGAGAACUGAUUUCACAUUGAUUAAGGUAUUCUCACACACUUUCCCUCAUUUUUUCUCAUAUGCUUACUUAUGCAUUCCGAAAUCUGCCUAACAUUUUCAUCCUUCUCUUUAAUGAAAGCCCCACACUCAUCAUCCAUCAUGGGUUUGACCCAGCUGACAUCUUGAACACAAACCCAGAUGGAAUUAAUUCUGCCAGAGACAGUGGAUUGAGGAGAUGACAUGUAGAAGUGACUCAUGGAAGAUGGAAGGUGCUUUAUACAGAAGGUGGAAGAAAGUUCUCCAAGGAGAUGCAACCAAUCAGGUGCAAAGGUGGGAGCCCAAGGAGUGGCCACGGAACUGCUGGGACUUCUGUGUGAGUGGAGCACAGGGAGCCUGGAACAGCAGAUGGGCCAGCUGUGGGAAUACGUGUACCUUCAAGAAGCCACCAUGCCCUGCAACUAAAGCAGGAGCAAGAAGUCGUGUGUGCCAAUGAAGCCUAUUUUGCAACUUUGAUCUUCUUGCCUGGCUACUUUACUUGUCAUCUUUCCAACUAUUCUGGCCAAAGUGUCGCUGCUUUCACUUUGAACCAAGUAUUCUCAUUUCUUUACAAUCCAAUUUAACUUCUCAGUGCCUUGAUAUGAAAAGAGCAUUUCAACAAACACAGAGAACUUCCCUAAACUUGUCUGACCACGCAUCUUUAGUUUGUGGCACAUUUAUUAACAUUUUGGAAGAAUGUUUCGGAGACUGUCAGUUUAUGAAAUCCACUGAUGUUCACUCAUUUUUCUAAGCGUUCUGUUUUGAAGAAUGUUUUACUUCAGUUUUAUUCUAAUUAUACCACAGUACAUAAAACUGAAGAAAGACUAUUUCUUAUCAAUAUUAUUUACUGUUUUUAAUGCUGAGGGAACACAGCGCUUUGUGCUUGUAUAGUCGGUGUAUAUUUAUUAUGCAUUUGAGUCUUUGUUAAUUUUUUGUGUGCUGUCUUUAUCAAUAAAUAGUAACAUAUUUGUUUAGACUUAGGUUCAUCCAUACUUUACAAAGACUAUUUUUCCUUAGAUUUUAUGGACAUGUUUUUUUUUUUUUAACAAUUAACAGUUUUUGAAAAUAAGGCAAGAAUUAUUUGCAUCUUAGAUAAAUAGGCAAAUAAAGUAUUGAUUUGGGUAGAAAAAAGGGAACUGGUCUCAUGCAAGUGUUAUGGGAUCAAGCUCUUCUCAUAAAAUGAAAGAAUGUUUGAAAAGGAAAUCGUUAAGAUCUUAUUAGUCUUACUACUAUUGUGGUAUUUCAACUUUUAAAGUGUUCAUCUGGGGUUAUACACAGGUGCACAAUCACUUUGUAAGUGUGACUGGGUAAUGGGGUUAUUUACUAGAAAACAUAUAAAAUCUCAUGAGAAAAUUCAAAUUUUGCAGGAUUUAUAGUUUGAAAUA